UGUCAUUUUAUUUCCCACCGUGUGGUAAGAUCCCACCACCUGUCAUUAUGGUGCAGAACGUGAGCUUCAAAUAUACGAAAGACGGGCCUUGCAUCUACAAUAAUCUAGAAUUUGGCAUUGACCUUGACACACGAGUGGCUCUGGUAGGACCCAACGGAGCAGGGAAGUCCACUCUGCUGAAGCUGCUAACCGGAGAGCUUCUGCCUACAGAUGGAAUGAUCCGGAAGCAUUCUCAUGUCAAGAUAGGGCGUUACCGUCAGCACUUACAGGAGCAGCUGGACCUUGACCUUUCACCAUUGGAAUACAUGAUGAAGGGCUAUCCAGAGAUCAAGGAGAAGGAGGAGAUGAGGAAGAUCAUUGGGAGAUAUGGCCUCACUGGGAAACAGCAGGUGAGCCCAAUCCGGAACCUGUCGGAUGGGCAGAAGUGCCGAGUGUGCCUGGCCUGGCUGGCCUGGCAGAACCCUCACAUGCUCUUUCUGGACGAGCCUACCAAUCACCUGGACAUCGAGACCAUUGAUGCUCUGGCAGAUGCCAUCAANGAGUUUGAGGGUGGCAUGAUGCUAGUCAGCCAUGACUUCAGACUCAUCCAGCAGGUUGCACAGGAGAUUUGGGUCUGUGAGAAGCAGACAAUCACCAAGUGGCCUGGAGACAUCCUGGCCUACAAGGAGCACCUCAAGUCCAAGCUGGUAGAUGAGGAGCCCCAGCUCACCAAGAGGACCCACAAUGUGUGAGCCCUCAGCCAGGCUUGGGUCAGGAAUGCCACCUGGAGACUGCCAGCUGACACCUGACCAGCCACUCAGGACAGGACCCUGGGGCUGCACUCCUGCACUGCUGCAAUACUGCCCUCAGCCUCUCCCCUCAGCCUGCCUUCGCUGCAUCAUAUCUCCAGCUGGACAGCACCUGUCCGUUUUCCCACCCUCCUUCCAUUUGGGUCUGUCUGUUUGGACUCAGCUGGCUGUUCUCUCCAGACCCUUGCUGGUUACCUUGCCCUGAAAGAUGCAGCCAGGGGUACCUGGGUUAACCCAAGGGCCCAAGCCCUGGUCUGGCCCUGGAAGGAUUCAAGAGCCUCAUUUUAUG